rnacentral:tRNA from 1 species
UUAGUUGAAGCUAAAGUAAGCAGCAUCUCACUGUUAAUGGGAAUUUAGGGUGUCUAACCCCAACUAAG